UACGUAGGGUGCGAGCGUUAAUCGGAAUUACUGGGCGUAAAGCGUGCGCAGGCGGCGCGUUUAAGACAGGUGUGAAAGCCCCGAGCUUAACUUGGGAAUUGCGCUUGUGACUGGCGAGCUGGAGUGUGGCAGAGGGAGGUGGAAUUCCACGUGUAGCAGUGAAAUGCGUAGAGAUGUGGAGGAACACCGAUGGCGAAGGCAGCCUCCUGGGCCAGCACUGACGCUCAUGCACGAAAGCGUGGGGAGCAAACAGG
rnacentral:rRNA from 1 species